GCAGAGAUGAUAAACAAAAGUGGGUUUGCAAUUUUCCCCAUUACCAAGGAAAAAGAGUUGGGCGAAACCGUAGGCGCAGGAUGCAGGUGUAGAAAAAUCCAGGCGUAAGAAAAGUGAAAUUAAACAUAUUCACUCCCGCAGUAAUUACUGCUUAGGAGUGGCAGCGGGAGAAGCAAAAGGAAUUAUUUGUGUUAGUGCAGACAGGUAAGGGCGAGAGAGAGAAGUGUAAAAGUGGCGCUGAAUGGCGGCUUCUUCGUCUGCAACAGUGCCAGCGGCGUCGUCGGGGCUUACGCGGGAGGCCUCCAUUUACUCGUGGACGAUCGACGAGCUCCACAGCACCGUGGCCAACAAUCGGGGCGUGGGAAGCAUGAACAUGGACGAACUCCUUAAAAAUAUCUGUAGCGCGGAAGAGAGUGGGGGCGGGGGCGGGGGCGGGGGCGGGGGCGGAGAACAAUUGCUAGGUCGGCAGGGCAGCCUAACGCUGCCUCCGAGCAUUGUGAACAAGACGGUGGAGGAGGUGUGGAAGGAGAUUCAGACAAGUGCAUGUGGCAGCGCUGUGAGUGCUCCGGUGCAGAGGGAGAGAGAACUCACAUUGGGGGAGAUGACGCUCGAGGAUUUCUUGGCCAAGGCUGGAGUUGUCAGGGAUGACUCUUUGCCCACUAAUCCUCAAGAGGAUUGGCUCAAUUUCCAGUUUAAGGCUGCCCAGGGACCGCAACCGCUUACAAUUCAGCAUCCGCAACAGCAUUUUCAACGCCAGCAACAGCCCAUGUUUGGGAAAAAUCCAACGACUGCCGCCAUUCCGGCCCUGCAGUCGAGCUCGACGGGAAGCAUUCUAGAAGCCUCUAUGGAGUCUGGUGCUACGAGCUCUUUUGCGCCUGCCUUUGGCGGAUUGUCGCCUGCAAGUGCCAGUGCCGGUACCAUUGCUAGGGGUAAGAAACGUGUUUUGGAUGCGCCAGAGGACAAAGCAGUGGAGCAAAGGCAGAGGAGGAUGAUUAAGAACAGGGAGUCUGCAGCACGCUCACGGGAGCGCAAACAGGCAUACACUGUGGAGCUAGAGGCUCAGGUGACUCAAUUGAAAGAAGAGAAUGCAGAAUUAAGCAGGCUAGAGGAGGUGGCAAAAAAGAAAAGGUUCAAACAGCUCAUGGAAAUUCGUAUUCCAGUGGAAGAGAUGCGAACACCACCUCGAGUUCUUCGAAGAACUCGUACAGCUCAUUGGUAGAGUGCUAUUUUAUACAGUCAUUGAUACAUACUAGACGCAUAACAGUAUAAUGUAUACCUGUACUGCAAUAAUGAGAAGCUGAUUAUCUUCAACAAAUGGCAGGGGUGAAGCGUAUGCAGUUAUCAUAUCUUUGAUGAAAACUCUUAGGGUGUACAUUGUGCUUAUUACAGGGGAGCACUGAUCUCAGAAGAUCUGAUAAAGCAAACAUACGCAUCUCACUGUUUGAUACUUCUGCUGUGAUGUUCUGGAGCAGAUGGUGUGAAGUGGAGACUUGCACAUUCAUAGUAGAAACUAUCUUUUAAUCAGUGUAGAUUCUGGUUUAGCAUAAAGGGCGGCUUUAGUUUUUCAUCGUGUUCCACUUGUUUUGAGGUUUGAAAAUUUGGAAGACCGUUUUAAUAUUUGACACAACACUUGAUAGUGUUAGACUGUAAGUUCAGAAGUCUUUGUGAAUAGCUGUUCUUGCAGGUCAAUUUGACUAGUAUACAGAUCCAAUAAACAACGUUACUUUUGCCUUUUUCUUUCCCGUAUAUUGUUCUGGCCAUCCGAAACUAGUACUUGUUCAAUAAGAAGGCACUUGUACAUGGUAAUAUAAUUAAUAAGCAAUCAUUUUCUUCUCGA